AUUGAACGCUGGCGGCAGGCCUAACACAUGCAAGUCGAACGGUAGCACAGAGAGCUUGCUCUCGGGUGACGAGCGGCGGACGGGUGAGUAAUGUCUGGGAAACUGCCCGAUGGAGGGGGAUAACUACUGGAAACGGUAGCUAAUACCGCAUAACGUCGCAAGACCAAAGUGGGGGACCUUCGGGCCUCACACCAUCGGAUGUGCCCAGAUGGGAUUAGCUAGUAGGUGGGGUAAUGGCUCACCUAGGCGACGAUCCCUAGCUGGUCUGAGAGGAUGACCAGCCACACUGGAACUGAGACACGGUCCAGACUCCGACGGGAGGCAGCAGUGGGGAAUAUUGCACAAUGGGCGCAAGCCUGAUGCAGCCAUGCCGCGUGUAUGAAGAAGGCCUUCGGGUUGUAAAGUACUUUCAGCGGGGAGGAAGGCGGUGAAGUUAAUAACUUCACCGAUUGACGUUACCCGCAGAAGAAGCACCGGCUAACUCCGUGCCAGCCGCCGCCGUAA
rnacentral:rRNA from 1 species